rnacentral:lncRNA from 1 species
CUUUUUACCAGUUUUCCACAGAGAAUUCCACAUGUCUCCACUCCCCGGGCAGUGUUGGCACUGGCUAACUGGAGAAACUGUGGGCACAGCCGCCCAGGCACCACCACAUGGCGCAAUCCAUCGAUUGUGGGAACUGUAAAGGAGAAAGGAGAAUAGUCUGCGACCACUGAGCCCUGCCUCCUCAAGCAGACCUCACAGCCAGCAGCCCUGGAGGAGCAACAUUAAGCCACUGGGAUUCCCCCAACUUCAGGCAAAUCAGAAUCAGAAUCAAGAUUUUAAAGGUAUCUCCAAGAAAAGUGAA